GACGAACGCUGGCGGCGUGCUUAACACAUGCAAGUCGAGCGGUAAGGCCCUUUCGGGGGUACGACGAGCGGCGAACGGGUGAGUAACACGUGGGUGACCUGCCCUCAGCUCUGGGAUAAGCCCGGGAAACCGGGUCUAAUACUGGAUAUGACUCCACGGUGCAUGCCGUGGGGUGGAAAGCCUUGUGCGGCUGAGGAUGGGCCCGCGGCCUAUCAGCUUGUUGGUGGGGUGAUGG
rnacentral:rRNA from 1 species